GUGUAUCUGGCUUCCGCCAAUUAUGGUCAUGCUUGCCACUUUCCACGCCAUAUUAACAGAAUGAAACGCCGCUUUUUAAGCAUUAAAAUGGAUGCUUUUGCAGCCAAUGGGUACAAGCUGCUAAGGCAAGAGCAGCGCACCAUCGCGUCUCUGGGCUGAAACGAGGAGGACACUUCUGCUUCAGCAAAAAUCUGCCGUGGUAAUCCGCUAGCCCCAGCAUGGACGAUCCUGCAGGUGACUGCUGCAUCCAGAAGCCCAUCUUCAGAUAUCAAGAAUCUUCAUCAGGAGCAGCUGAAGAUCAACCUGUUGCUCUAAGUCAGUCACCAUCAAGCUGCGCAGUGAGGAUGAGAAAUUUCAAACUGAGGAUCCAAAAUGUCCGACAGAUGGUGAGGAUGGCUCAGCAGCAACUGUAUGAAAUCUUCAGCAACUUCCACCUCUGGACUGUUGAGGGCAUGUUCAGCAGCUGCCUCCAGUACGUGAAGGUGCUAUUGAGGAUCAUGUGGACUCCACUGCCUCUCACAGAAGAGCUGCCUCUUACCUCGUGAAUUUCCAGACAGCUGGCUGAAUUAUAUUAUAUGUGGAAUACUUCAUAGCCAAACUGAAAACUUUAUGAUUCCCUGCAGUUCUUGUUUUGGUUUAAUUUGGGCACCAUUUCAUUAUUUUUUUGGGUCCCCUUCUUACAUUAACACCCGUUUUCAUAAAUAUUCAGCCUUGUGUAGUCCCUUUUUUUUUUUUGUAAACCUGUUUUUAUUUCUUUGGACAUUCUUGAAAGACUUUGGAAAUCUCAAAAUGAACAAGAUGCUGAUUUAACAUUACAUCAGUACCAGAUGUUCCUCGAAAGUAAGCUUGAGGUGAACUAGGAAAAACUGAGCCUUCUUCCAUGAAGGAUGUAUUGGGUUUUCACUCCGUUUAUUUCUUUCCACUUUUUUUUAGGCUUUGCAUUGAGGCAAGGGAUAAACCUUAAAAACACAAGAAAAUUAAAUGUAACUAUGUAUAACCAAAUACAUAGAUAAAGCAUUGUGUUACAUGUAUGAUUUAGUUAAUACAUUAAAAUGAAUACGUAAACAAGCCUUUUUCUUCUUUAUAUAACCAACGUUUUUAGCAUUAGCACUCUCAUAAUCACUCAAACAAUGAUUUCAGCAGUUUACAUUGAAAUGGG
rnacentral:lncRNA from 1 species